AGAGUUAGGGCUGGAGAAACUUCAAAAUACAAUGUUUCUUUGUAGGUUGGAAAUGUAAAAAAAUAAAUACUUAAUAUAUUGGUUAUGUUUAAAUUUUAGCAAGGACUUUCUUGAUAAAUCAAAUUCAAAAUGAGACAAAUAUCUAACUAAAUUUGUAAAUUUUAAAAAGCCUGGAGGGCAGUUCUAAUGUGGCGCCGCCACUGACCGCAAUCAAAGCCCAAUUUGUCCUCAUCUCAUUAAUU
rnacentral:lncRNA from 1 species